AUUGAACGCUGGCGGCAGGCUUAACACAUGCAAGUCGAGCGGGGUGAUGGUGCUUGCACUAUCACUUAGCGGCGGACGGGUGAGUAAUGCUUAGGAAUCUGCCUAUUAGUGGGGGACAACAUCUCGAAAGGGAUGCUAAUACCGCAUACGUCCUACGGGAGAAAGCAGGGGAUCACUUGUGACCUUGCGCUAAUAGAUGAGCCUAAGUCGGAUUAGCUAGUUGGUGGGGUAAAGGCCUACCAAGGCGACGAUCUGUAGCGGGUCUGAGAGGAUGAUCCGCCACGCUGGGACUGAGACACGGCCCAGACUCCUACGGGAGGCAGCAGUGGGGAAUAUUGGACAAUGGGGAACCCUGAUCCAGCCAUGCCGCGUGUGUGAAGAAGGCCUUAUGGUUGUAAAGCACUUUAAGCGAGGAGGAGGCUCUUUUGGUUAAUACCCAAGAUGAGUGGACGUUACUCGCAGAAUAAGCACCGGCUAACUCUGUGCCAGCCGCCGCCGUAA
rnacentral:rRNA from 1 species